CACACGCACAUGACCCGCGACCGCAAGAAAAUUACGGUUCAUCCCCACCCACCGACUACUCCCCCCCAUCGAUCGAUCUCCCCAGCACCAUCAUCCUGCCCUGAGUGUCCAUGUCGGUCUCCCUCUCGACAGCCACCGCCACCAUGACUCCGGAUCCUGGCCGGCCCAUCGCUGCCAGCACGUCUUACCGCAAGGUCGCCUCGGCACCGCGGAGCCCGACACCGACCCCGGCCCCUCGGGUUAGUGUCCUCUAUGUCAGCCCGCCACCGCGCCAUCUCCGGCCAAGGUCGAUGACCAUGGGAUCCCCACAAGCGUGUGAAGCCCUGCUGAUGUGCGGAGCUGAACCUGAACGAUUGCAUCCGCGAGGCCGAGGAGUAGGUCGUGCGCUGCCACAAGGACAGGGGCACUGGCUCGGCGCCAUGUACGCCUGCAAGGAGGACACCGUGCUCCAGGCCCUCGAGACUGAGAGGGCUCGCCUGGACAGGAGCGCCAGCUCCUAGACCAAGCCUGCUUCUCAGGGCGCCAAUGCGCAUUAUUUCUUCUGCCCAGCAAACGCCAAACGACCCGAGGAUGACGUGCCGCAGCCCGCAGGGAUUCCAGCGAAUGAGAGACCUAACUGAAAUGGUGCUUUUUCUGAAUCUUGUUUGUUGCAUAUGAGUGGACAGAUACCUGUUUGCUCGUAUAUCUUGCUUCAAUUGAUGCACUGGCUCAUGUACAGUAUGGAGCACCCUGACAUCACAGGUGUGCGCUUCACUAAAUUAAUCAUCGUGCAACAUUCCUACUUCAACAUAUACUCAAAUGGCGGUGAUGUUCUCCUCUGGGAUGGAGGGGGCGGGUCUGUGGGCAUCGUAGAGAAGUGGUCGGGUCCACAAGAUAACUGAGAUGCUUGUGGCGGGGUGCUUGAGGUGAGGAGUCCGUAGGGCUGGCCGGGCAGAACAAGCUCAUCGGCACCACCUCCUCGCCUUCUCCAUCAGCAAUGUGGACAAGGUGCAAAAGGAUAUCUCACUUACAUCUUAUUCAGUCUGGCUGCCAAUUUAGCAAUGUUUGGUUUGGCUGAUUUAACAAUUGUCAGAUUGUAAAUCUGUUGCAUAUAGCAGAAAUUGAAUAACAUGGACAGAAAUUUCUUGAAUUUAUAGGGUUAUUAUUAUUAUUUUUCGACAAAAUCCGUCGCUAAAUUAGGAAGAACGUCAUCCAAAAUCCGGCAACAUAAAGGAGUACAUAGUUAAUUGAUUUUGAAAUGAUGUAGUGCAUUAGACGAUUUCUUCCUUAAUUUCUUAACGCAUUUAUAUUUAAGCGGUAAGCCCCAUACGUCAUACGUGUUCGUCCUUUUGGUGAUAUAAGGUGGUGAGCUUUCUCCUUCUCCACUCUUUAACACUGUUGGUUCUGCAUUUUGCAUCAAUGGUUUGGGAUAAGAAAUGAAUGUUUCUAUCUGAAUAUUAUUUGGUUAUUCAUGCUUUGUCUAAAUCGAUUUAGGAGAAGUUAGUAUGUGAUUCAUUUGGAAAAAUGACUUCUUUCUGAACAGAAGUAAUAAAAGGACUUGGUCGGGGAGGGAGUAGAGCCGGUUAAUUCAGUACUUUCUGGACAACAGUAAUAAAAGGGCUUAUUCAGUUUUAAUUUUUUCCAGUAAAUAAUGAAAAUGUCUAUGUAUUUUUUUUCUCCCAAUAUGCUAUGGUCAUCUUGUUGCUAUGCAUAUAAAAUUUCAUGGCCAGCUUAGCAGCUGAGGGUUGGCUCUCCUAUCUACCUGUCUAUCUUGCUUUGACAAGGUGAUGUAAAUAUUCAAAAAACAUGUGACCAUCUCCUGUUGGUCAGUAUUAUCUUUGGCCAUUCUUCUAUUUGUGUUUGCUUUUUUUGCAUGUUCAUUAUGACGGUGAAAUUCUAGAGACGACCAGGUAAUGUUCCGAAUCCAGGUUAUUUCCUAUUAUGUAUGGAUUUGAUAUCUGGUGAACGGUUGCCAUACACGCUUUCAACAAUAUUUAGAAAUGCCAGUGUCGCUUGUCUGCUGCUGGACUUGGUGCACACACAAUCAGCUCCCAAGUCAUGGCAGGUCGUUCCAGACAUGAGGUUCAUCUUGAUGAUUUUAUUUUCGCAAUGCAAACUUGGAACCUGGCGAUACAAACUAAAAGCAUGCUUAUAUCAAGAUGUAGUGCAUACCCAGCCUAAAUUGAUGUUUUCCAGUUUGAUUGAUUUUAUUUCUAUGCAAAUUACAAAUAAAUUAGAGCUUUCUCAGAGCUUCAAUCAGAAGUUCUCGCCAAUGGUUUGAUCUUUUUUUCUUUUCUUUUUAUAGGCUAUGAGGUCUUAUUGUGCUUCCAGAUUGGAACCGUUGGAAAGCUUAGACUUCCUGAUCUAGCUAACAAACGAAGCAGUCUAUUUAACAACAAGACAAUAGCAUAUAUAUAUAUAUAUAUAUAUAUAUAUGUGUGUGUGUGUGUGUGUGUGUGUGUGUGUGUGUGCGUGUGCGUGUGUGUGUGUGUGUGUGUGUGUGUGUGUGUGUGUGUACUUUGAUCGCUACAUUUUCUAGCAGCAAGAUAGUAGCAUAUCUAUAUGCACCUUGAGAGUUACAUUUUUUGCCAUCGCUUGUACUACUAUUACUACUGUACUGACAUAAAGUCAGGGAGUUCAAAAUUUUCAUGUUUAGUUUGCACUAAUGUUAUUCUUCAUUGAGUUUUGGUCCAGGUAUUUAUCUAGGUAGAUGCUAUUCAUAUUGGCAUGAAUACUAUUGAAUUCUGAAUCAUAAAGAAGCUAGGAUAAUAUCAUAAUUACAUGCCAAACUUUUCUAAAGGGAUUUGUCUUCCACGUAGUAGGUGCUGAUGCUUAUGAUUUUCUUCUUCAAAAAACAUAUGGCAAAGGCUAACCCAAUAUUUAAGUUUUCAUUAUGACCCAAUCUGGACCAUGUACAUAAUCGACCAUAUAGUUCAAAACAGAUCUAUUAAUGAAGGUUGGUUUGAGAUCCACUAUUUCUUCUCACAAAUGUACAUCUGCAUUUAAUUUUUUUUAGCAGUUUUCACUGCAUGCUUGGAGAAGAGGACAAGAGGAGAGGCUUGGAUCUUGAGAUGACAAGGGUAGUCACCUGGUGCAAAUAAAGGAAGGAGGAGGUGAAUGGGGCAAGAGGCACGAGAAGAAAGGAGUAGCGCCACAGGGAUGACGUUGUCGGCAGCGCCUUUGGACAGGUUCGUUCUAGAGAAGUUAUGGUGGUCAGCCGUCGCGCUGGGGAAUCGGGGAGGAUGUCGUUCGGAACACAUGGUGGGUUUAGAGGAGUGUGUCGAGGCAGUGCUCGAGGAUGGCCACGAGAAGUUGGAUUGCACACUUCUCAACGUGAUUGCGUCGUUGGUCCAGUGUCAAAUCAAAGGAACUUCUAUCACAUAUGUUCAUGCGUGGUAUGCCAAUUUCUCCUUGAUGGCAAAUAAUCCAGACAAAAUAUUUGGAAGUAAUGGCGGCCUUGCCGGAGUAAGGGGCAAAAUUGUGGGAGUGGACGCACAUCAUGUAGGCUAGACGACAGAGUUUGUGGUCGUUGUGUCCUGAGCGGGCAUAAUGGAGUUUACACUAAUUACUUCUACAUUGAUAUUAUUGUUUGGACACUUUGAAAGGAGAAGAAAAUAGCAAAGAAUACCUAAAAAAUCAUAGUGUGUAUGUAGAAGGUUGGGGUAUUUUGACCCGGAUGGGCCAUUGAUGGUUGCGGCCAGCUUGGAUAGGGAAGGUACAGAUAGUUGGCGAAGAGGAGGAUAGCGAAGAUGAAUACGAAUAAUGGUUUAAAGGUAGCAAAAAUCAACAAUUUUGCUUAAUGUGCAUGAAGAUUCGAACGAUGUAUGUUUGACAUGAUUAAUGUUGAAUCACUAGCAUAUAUAUAUACUCCUGUUGUACUCAUGUCAAGCUUCAGGGUGGUGGCGUGCUGAUGGUGGACGGUUGGCUGCGGCUAGGGCUGCAAGAAAAGCUCGAGGCUCGUGAGCCGCUCGAGAUCGACUCGUUUUUUGACUCGACUCGAGAUUGACUCAAAAAGAAACAUGCUGAGUUUGAACACUUUAUGUAGCUCAACCGAGAAACGAGCCGAUCUUGAGCCAAUGUUGGCUCGCUCGAUUUUAGCUCGAUAGCUCGACAACAUAUCAUUAUGUUAAAUGAUCAUGCCAUAUAUUAUAUGAAAAUAAGAUAAUUUAUUACCAUAUAUGUUGUCCAUAAUUUUCUCCAUUUUAUUUACCAACGAACGUGGAAACUUAAUUAAGUGCAGAGAAGAUUUAGGCCUAAUUAUGGCACAUGGCUGACUAUGUGUUAAAUAUCCUAUAUUUUUGGCAAAGGUUCCCAGCAUAUUCACCUUUUUUUCAUCCAUAGAUUUAUAAUUCUUACCGUCUCAUUUAGCUCG